rnacentral:rRNA from 1 species
GACCUCAAAUCAGGUAGGACUACCCGCUGAACUUAAGCAUAUCAAUAAGCGGAGGAAAAGAAACUAACAAGGAUUCCCCUAGUAACUGCGAGUGAAGCGGGAAAAGCUCAAAUUUAAAAUCUGGCAGUCUUUGAUUGUCCGAGUUGUAAUCUAGAGAAGUGUUAUCCGCGCUGGACCGUGUACAAGUCUCCUGGAAUGGAGCGUCAUAGAGGGUGAGAAUCCCGUCUUUGACACGGACUGCCAGUGCUUUGUGAUGCGCUCUCAAAGAGUCGAGUUGUUUGGGAAUGCAGCUCAAAAUGGGUGGUAAAUUCCAUCUAAAGCUAAAUAUUGGCGAGAGACCGAUAGCGAACAAGUACCGUGAGGGAAAGAUGAAAAGAACUUUGGAAAGAGAGUUAAACAGUACGUGAAAUUGCUGAAAGGGAAACGCUUGAAGUCAGUCACAUUGUGUGAGAAUCAACCUUGCUUUUGCUGGGCGUACUUCUCAGAUGAUGGGUCAGCAUCAAUUUUGAUCGUUGGAUAAAGUCUAAAGGAAUGUGGCAUCUUCGGAUGUGUUAUAGCCUUUGGUUGUAUACAACGGUUGGGAUUGAGGAAGUCAGCACGCCGCAAGGCCGGGUACUUGUACCACGUUCGUGCUUAGGAUGCUGGCAUAAUGGCUUUAAUCGACCCGUCUUGAAACACGGACCAAGGAGUCUAACAUGCCUGCGAGUAUUUGGGUGGAAAACCCGAGUGCGUAAUGAAAGUGAAAGUUGAGAUCCCUGUCAUGGGGAGCAUCGACGCCCGGACCAGACCUUUUGUGACGGAUCUGCGGUAGAGCAUGUAUGUUGGGACCCGAAAGAUGGUGAACUAUGCCUGAAUAGGGUGAAGCCAGAGGAAACUCUGGUGGAGGCUCGUAGCGAUUCUGACGUGCAAAUCGAUCGUCAAAUUUGGGUAUAGGGGCGAAAGACUAAUCGAACCAUCUAGUAGCUGGUUCCU